rnacentral:rRNA from 1 species
GACGAACGCUGGCGGCGUGCUUAACACAUGCAAGUCGAACGGAAAGGCGCUGCCUUUGUGGGGUGCUCGGGUGGCGAACGGGAGGGUAACAUGUGAGUAACCUGCCCUUGACUUUGGGAUAACUUAAGGAAACUGGGGCGAAUACCGGAUAGGAGCUCCUGCUGCUUGGUGGGGGUGGGAAAGUUGCGGCGGUUGGGGAGGCACUCGAGGCUCGUGAGCUCGUUGGUGGGGUAGGGGCUUACAAGGGCUUGGACGGGUGGCCGGCCUGAGUGGGUGUGCGGCAACAUUGGGACUGAGACACGGCGCAGACGUCGACGGGAGUGAGCAGUGGGCGAUAGUGUACAGUGGGCGGAAGGCGUAAGCAGCGACGCCGCUCGCGGUGUGAACGCCUUUGGGUUGUAAACCGCGCUCGCCUGGGACGAAGGGUGAUUGACGGUAAUGGGUAAAGAAGCACCGGCUAACUACGUG